GACGAACGCUGGCGGCGUGCUUAACACAUGCAAGUCGAACGGUAAGGCCCUUCGGGGUACACGAGUGGCGAACGGGUGAGUAACACGUGGGUGAUCUGCCCUGCACUUCGGGAUAAGCCUGGGAAACUGGGUCUAAUACCGGAUAGGACCACUGCCUGCCGGGGUGGUGGUGGAAAGCUUUUGCGGUGUGGGAUGGGCCCGCGGCCUAUCAGCUUGUUGGUGGGGUGAUGGCCUACCAAGGCGACGACGGGUAGCCGGCCUGAGAGGGUGACCGGCCACACUGGGACUGAGAUACGGCCCAGACUCCUACGGGAGGCAGCAGUGGGGAAUAUUGCACAAUGGACGCAAGCCUGAUGCAGCGACGCCGCGUGAGGGAUGACGGCCUUCGGGUUGUAAACCUCUUUCAGCACCGACGAAGCGCAAGUGACGGUAGGUGCAGAAGAAGGACCGGCCAACUACGUGCCAGCAGCCGCAGUAA
rnacentral:rRNA from 1 species